UGGGGAAUUUUGGGCAAUGGGCGAAAGCCUGACCCAGCAACGCCGCGUGAAGGAUGAAGUAUUUCGGUAUGUAAACUUCGAAAGAAUAGGAAGAAUAAAUGACGGUACUAUUUAUAAGGUCCGGCUAACUACGUGCCAGCAGCCGCGGUAAUACGUAGGGUGCGAGCGUUAAUCGGAAUUACUGGGCGUAAAGCGUGCGCAGGCGGCGACAUAAGACAGAUGUGAAAUCCCCGGGCUCAACCUGGGAACUGCGUUUGUGACUGUGUUGCUAGAGUGUAGCAGAGGGGGGUGGAAUUCCACGUGUAGCAGUGAAAUGCGUAGAGAUGUGGAGGAACACCGAUGGCGAAGGCAGCCCCCUGGGUUAACACUGACGCUCAUGCACGAAAGCGUGGGGAGCAAACAGGAUUAGAUACCCUUGUAGUCCCUGAGCGGGCUGGCAAGGCGCAU
rnacentral:rRNA from 1 species